CUACCGCUUCCAGACCCCAUACUUCUGGCCCACACAGAAAUGGGUUGCGGAGGACACUGAUUAUGCCAUUUACCUGGCAAAGAGGAACAUCCGCAAGAAAGGCAUGCUUGAACCCUACGAACAGGCUCAUUACAACCACCUCCACGAAUGGCUCAACCACAAGUGGGACUUCAUCGUGAUGCAGUCCACUGAGCAGUACAAGUAGGUGAAACCCUUCCACUCAGUA